AAAUUUAGAGCUUGUUAAAUUUUUAUAGUAGCUAAAAUAAUUUUCUAGAUAUCCUAACUGUAUAAACUCAGCUUUAAGUUUCAGUUCACACAAGCCAGAUAUCUAGAAAAGUAUUUGAUUAAUGAUGCAUUUAAAGCCGAAGAAGAAGAUUCAAAUAGAUGACAUACACUCCCUAAAAAGUGCUUAGGUAUUCUGUUUUCAUAUGAGACAUAGUCGAGCAUACUUAAGUAAAAUAUAUUAAAGAAAACAUUUUAAAAGAGUUCAAAAAUAAAUCAAAGUCUUAUAGGGUUUUGUUAACCUUGUUUGCAAAUUUCUGUUUAAAAUAUUUCUUGAUAUCAACAAUUCUUAAAUUUUUCAAUUUUCUGAAUAUUCUACGAACUUGUCCAGCACACCUCGCAUACCCUUACACAAACGAACAUAUAAACUCGUAUAUGCAUACAAAAAAAUCCGCAUAACUGCAGCUAGUUGAGAUUUUUGCCUGCAUUCGAAAGAAAAUAUUUUUUCCAGCUUACAGCUCUUCAGCCGAGCAGUUAGUGUGGGCGAUGCGUCGGUGGACAGGGAUUAUUAUUUUGGACGUGAAACUUUUUUGCCAAAAACAGUUGCGCAAUAUUUGCGAACAAAAAUGUCAAUGCCGACUCGUCGAAUGAUCGGAAUGUGGUCAAACACAAGAAGAUAUAAAAGAAAUAACAUAAAAUAAAUACAAUAUCCGUUUCUGAUAGAAAUUUUAAGAUAAAUUGUAAAAUUGAUAGCCGUAACUUUGGCUGAGCAGCUGCUCAAUAAAAUAAUCAUGGCUUUCUGGUGUGCCGGAAAACAAAUGCGCAUUUAACAUUCAUGCGGCCGCAACGAUGAGUGGCCAAAAAUCAAGAGGGCAGACCAAUGCAGCAAUGCAAAUCCUGGCAAGGAUUAAACGCCAAAGGACGCAUAUACCACCGGACCAGGCGACCAGUCGACCAGGCGACCGUUCCACGUGCCCCUCCGUGCUGGUCGCUUUCUUUGGCCAGCACGUUAUGGAAAGGCAGCCACAAAGUCAUUUCACUGGGUCGGAUGUUUGCGGGCAAAUGAAAGGACGCACAAACGGCAGAGCCCAGUUCAGACAACGACAAACAGAGAUGAAUAUGGUAAGAGGCCAAUGGUUGCGAAAAUGGCGCGUGCUCAGUGCCAAAUGAAAAAUGACCAAAACGAGUUCGGGAUUGCGAAUUGCGGGAACGAAAGCGUCAACUACCAGGACCGAUACAAGUCAUAUAUAAACGACCCUUGGCAGCAAACAAUCAACUUUUAUACAAACGUUAUCCACCAACUUUCUACAAGUACGGGUGAAAUUUCCAAUAUCGCUGAAACAGGUAUUUAUUAAGUUCAUAUGUAGAACUGCGAAAACUGUGAAACUCUUCUCAAAUGAUUUAUCUUAUAGAUAUUUGAAAAUAAAUUGGAGCGCAAAAUGUGAUCCACCAAAUCUUUGACCCCAAAAUGGAAUUUCCCGAAACCCCGCCCUAACGUGCACCUAUAUCAUAUAAUUUAACUACAGUGAAACUUUCAGCUUCGCAGCUCUUAUGGUUUGGGCUGUGCGUUGAUCACCAAUCGCCAUCAUCAUCGCCUAGCGAUACGGAACCUAGUGGACCCACAUAGACGACCGAAUACCUGCAAAAUGCGCACGGAAACGUUCCAGACGGGAUCCUUACGAGUUGAAGGAGUUCAAAAUCUAAGUGAAUUUAGUCGAGUUUUUUCUUAUUAAAUUUUUAUUAAAAUUGCUGCAUGUGUAUAUUGUGAAUGAACGAAAAUAAUAAAUAAAUGACGAAAA